rnacentral:snoRNA from 1 species
AGAUUGUGGUGUGGGCAUUCUCUCUGCAAAUCCUUAAAUCUAUUCCAUGCUUCCUUCAAUGUUUCAUCAGGUUCUUGUUGGAAGGUGGCAAGCUUGUGUCUUAUUUC